rnacentral:rRNA from 1 species
AUGCCGGUCAGGGCUCCUCCAGCCUACCUUCACUGGUUCACCAUCUUGGAUCAGUUCAGGACUAGCUUCGACCAGUUCAUCCUCGACAGAUCCUGCAACAUUUCCCGUUUGUGGACUGGUGCCUGCCGGUCUGAAAAGGCAAGUCACACUGGUUGCUGGAGGCUUGGAGCGGGGCGUGUUGGAGGACAGGGAGGAGCUGAGGCAGGGGCUGGUGCACGGGUGAGCUUUGCUUGUUGUCGGUUUAGAGCCUGGUCCACUUUAAACCGAGGCAGGGGCUGGGGCUGGUCCACUUUGGACCGAGGGUUUUGUGGCAGGCCGCGGGUAGGAGAGGAGGUGACGGAGGGGGAUGUGUCCCUGUCGGCCUGGUCACAACUCUUCCUCCAUGGCAACCACGACGUCCCACCGUUCUGCUUGCCCUACUUUGAUGCUCUCGAUCAGAAUAUCCCCAUAGGAUUAGCCUCGGCUCGGUCUGGUGGCUCGUCUUGUGCUUCUUGCCUCCCCACCGACGACAUAUUUAUGGAAGGGUUCGAUUCCAAGCGAGGGUCCAUAUUGGAGGUAGGUGCUCACUUUGAUUCUCAUUUAGCAACAACAAUAGGAAAAUUCAUCAUUGAGGCUAGACUUGGGCAGGAUGUUCUCAACUUGAUAUCUUUCAAGAAGAUGCCUCAAGUGGCUUCCAACAGAGAUCAAGUUGCUAUUCCUACUUGGAAGAGCCAAUCUGGUAAAAGAAGCUUCAUAAGUGCUUCGGUGCAUUCCAGCAAAGGUAUGUAUUUCCUGAGAUCAAUUGAUGUCUCUGGAAUCACCGAGGACAUGGAUGAGCUAGUUGUAGUGUUUUCUCGUGUGGUUGAUGAUGUUGGCGCCCACAACAUAGUUCAAGUUGUCACAAAUGAUGCGCCACCACAUAUGCGAAUUUUAUGGCAUUAUGUGCAAAAGAAACAUGACCAUUCAUUCUUUGUUCCACUUUGCGCUGACUUCUGCAUUAACCUUCCGCUUGAGAAAAUAGCAGCACUGGAACAUGUCAGUGAGGUCAUAACGAAGGCAAAGGAAAUAACAAGGUUUAUAUAUGGCCAUACACUGCCAAUGGAACUAAAAGGAAGUUACAUCCAGGAGGAGAUUUUGAGCAGUUCUUAUCUAAAAGUUGUUGAUGCGUUUAUCACAUUAGACUAG